rnacentral:rRNA from 1 species
AAGUGGGGUUGUAAGCACUUUAAGCAAAGAAGCAGCUAAUCCGAGAUGACGUUACUGCAAUACACCGUAUCCGUGCCAACGCGGUAAGGAGGGUGGACGUAUCGGAAUACUGGCGUAAAGCGCGCGUAGCGGUUUGCUAAGUCCGCUGUGAAAGCCCCGGGCUUAACCUGGGAACUGCAGUGGAUACUGGCAGGCUAGAGUAUGGUAAGAUUGGAAUUUCCGGUGUACAGUGAAAUGCGUAGAGAUCGGAAGGAACACCAGUGGCGAAGCGGUAUCUGACAAUACUGACGCUGAAGGUUGCGAAAAGCCGUGGGGAGCAAACAGGAUUAGAUACCCUGGUAUCCAGCCGUAACGAUGAGAACUACCGUGGGCUCCUUCGGGAGUUAGUGGC